rnacentral:rRNA from 1 species
UGGGGAAUAUUGCACAAUGGGGGAAACCCUGAUGCAGCGACGCCGCGUGAGUGAAGAAGUAUCUCGGUACGUAAAGCUCUAUCAGCAGGGAAGAAAAUGACGGUACCUGAUUAAGAAGCCCCGGCUAACUACGUGCCAGCAGCCGCGGUAAUACGUAGGGGGCAAGCGUUAUCCGGAUUUACUGGGUGUAAAGGGAGCGUAGACGGCAGCGCAAGUCUGGAGUGAAAUCCCGGGGCUCAACCACGGGACUGCUUUGGAAACUGUGCGGCUGGAGUGCAGGAGGGGUAAGCGGAAUUCCUAGUGUAGCGGUGAAAUGCGUAGAUAUUAGGAGGAACACCGGUGGCGAAGGCGGCUUACUGGACUGUAACUGACGUUGAGGCUCGAAAGCGUGGGGAGCAAACAGG